rnacentral:sRNA from 1 species
AUGUACACAGUUCGUACACUGCGGUUCCUGCGCGCCGGCGAUCACCGUCAGCCGUCCGCUCGCUACGUUUUGAGCA